rnacentral:rRNA from 1 species
UUUAUUUUUGAUUACAAGGUAUUGAAUAAGGUUUUAAUUGAAUGCUAAAAGAAUGGAAUAUCAAAGAAUAACUUUCUUAAAAUUAAAAAUUGAAAUUUUUUUAAUUUGUGUAAAAACAAUUAUAUAAAUUAAAGACAAGAAGACCCUAAGAAUUUUUAAAAUUUAAAUUAACACAUUUUUGUUUUAAUUAAAUUUUAACUGGGGCGGUUAAAAAAUAUUAAAAACUUUUUAAUUUUGAAAAUGAUCCAUUAUUAAUGAAAAUAUGAUAAAAUACUCUAGGGAUAACAGCGUUAUAUUUUUUGAUAGAUCAUAUUGACAAAAAAGUUUGCGACCUCGAUGUUGGAUUAGGAUACUUUUUUAAUGAAGAUAUUAAAAUAAGAAGUUUGUUCAACUUUUAAAUUCCUACAUGAUCUGAGUUUAGACCGAA